AUGAAGGAGACGCUGGACAAGGUGGUGUCGGCGCACAAGGUGGUGCUGCUCAUGAAGGGGACCAAGGACUUCCCGCAGUGCGGCUUCUCCCACACCGUGGUGCAGAUCCUGCGCUCCCUCGACGUGCCCUUCGAGACGCUCGACGUGCUCGCCAACGACGCCCUCCGCCAGGGGCUCAAGGACUACUCCAGCUGGCCCACCUUCCCGCAGCUCUACAUCGACGGCGAGUUCUUCAGCGGCUGCGACAUCACCCUCGGUGGUCCGACAGUUCAAGCAUCAUGUGGAUGCAUCAGAGAAGGAAAUUGA
rnacentral:rRNA from 1 species